GGAAUUAUUGUGUGUUUGGCUAAAUACAAGGGAUAACACUUGAGGUAAGGAAAAGAGAAAAAGUAGAAGAAAGGAAGAUAUAUGUUGGCUAAGCUGCAUUUUUUUCCAUUUGGACUGAUCGUCUAGGACGAGCAAGAUUUAGACCAGUCCAAGGGUUUCUCUACUUAACUCAGGUAGACUUUGAAUUCACUAAUAGCCUCAGAAGGCCUCAAACAACCCGUGAUCUUGCUGCCUCAGCCUUCCAAUUACAGACACACUGUAAUGACAAUCCAGGGCCACCACAGCCAUUUCACGUGGUGAUUUGGCUCUUGAAGGAAUCAGACCCCACUGGGGAUGACUUGCCUCUGAUCUCAGGCAUCUCGGGUCCAGCCGGGAGACUCAAAGCCUGGGGGUGCGUCAAGAAUCAAAUACUUUAGUGUAUUCUGACUGGAAAACUGAUAGUUGCCAACUGAAGACCAACCGGAAUUAGAAGGAAUCCUCAAAAAACAACACGGUGGGCUCUCUGUAUCUGCAGAUCAAUCGAUGGAUUCAGCCAAGUGAAGAUCAAAGAUAUUCUUAAAAAUUGUUUCUGUGCUGACCGUGGACAGUUAUUUUUGUCACUAUUCCCUAAACAAUGUGUACGGUAUUUCAUUGUACUAGGUAGUGUACAUAAGCUGUGCAAAUACUGCACCAUUUUAUGUGUGGAAUCUGAACCACCAAAGAUUUUGGUAUCUGCAGUGGGUCCUGGAAUCACAACCCCCAAAGAUACUG